CUUAUUUUCCCGCAGAAGUUCUGAAACCCAAACCAUAAAAGUUGGAAUCAUGCCAAAGAAUAGUUUAAUUGAAAAUGGCCGAUUAUAAUACAAUAAUAUUAUAAUUGCAUCAACUAUAUCGAAUAAAAUCCCGAUCAAUUACGCAUGUUCUUGAUCAAACUCAGUGAGAAAACAGAAUCAUCACAAAUUAAACGUCUCGAUCAUAUUUCAAUUUGUGUCAUACAUAAUCAUAAUCAUAAUCAAACCUCUUCAAUCAUAGAAUCCUAAAUUAAUCAAAGGCGCAAACAAACACAAAACAGAUAAAGACGAAUAAAAUCAAAAACAGAUCGACCAAAAAACGACCUGCGGGGGUUUUUCUCUUGCCGA
rnacentral:misc_RNA from 1 species